GACGAACGCUGGCGGCGUGCUUAACACAUGCAAGUCGAGCGGUAAGGCCCUUUCGGGGGUACACGAGCGGCGAACGGGUGAGUAACACGUGGGUGACCUGCCCUCAGCUCUGGGAUAAGCCUGGGAAACCGGGUCUAAUACCGGAUAUGACUCCAUGACGCAUGUUGUGGGGUGGAAAGCCUUGUGCGGCUGAGGAUGGGCCCGCGGCCUAUCAGCUUGUUGGUGGGGUGAGGCCUACCAAGGCGACGACGGGUAGCCGGCCUGAGAGGGCGACCGGCCACACUGGGACUGAGACACGGCCCAGACUCCUACGGGAGGCAGCAGUGGGGAAUCUUGCGCAAUGGGCGAAAGCCUGACGCAGCGACGCCGCGUGAGGGAUGACCGGCC
rnacentral:rRNA from 1 species